rnacentral:lncRNA from 1 species
AUGGGACCAGGGCUGAUUCACACUUGCUUCUCCAGCUUAGGCAUCCUGCCCACUCCUACUAUGUGCAUUUUGCUUCUCCCCCGUCCCCCUGUUUUCCUGGCAAUAGAUGGGCUGGAAAUUAAUACAGAAAGGGUUGGUGGGAGUCAAACCUCCACCAUCUUAACCAUGGCUGUUUGGGGGAAUACUUUGCAGGCAUCUCAGAAGAAUGUUCAUGCACCGGGUUUUUCCACUAGUGGAGAUGCUGAGAGUGAUGACUUGGCUGAGAAAGUGCGAAACCUCCAUGGAGAAUGGUCUGCCCGGAAACAGAGAUUGAGGCCAAGUUCACAGGCUAAUGUUCUAUGACAGAUGCAAUCCUAUGACUGCAAAAAAGGCAGGGGAAAAGAAUUGAAGCAGAAAAGGAGAGAAAAUGAAUGCAACGUGGUUUGUGGCCAAGCUGGUCAUGGUUUUGUAAGCAGCCCCACUUGGUCAGGUGGGGCAUCUCUGGAGGUGCUCUAUGCACCGUUUCAUAUGGGAAGAGUUGUUCUCUGGCGCAAAGCCCACAGCGUGUAAAUGCCCCUGUACUUCUGGACUGUUUCCAGUGCCUUUGGGCAGCCACUGGGAAAGCCGGGGCUUCUGUGGGUCCCACUGUGUUUGACUUGGGUAUGGAGCUUCUGUAGACCUUUCCGGUGUAACGACAGCCUUGCCGAAGGCACAGAUGUCUAUCAUUGUAGGAGGUGAGGUGACAAAAUGGAGUCUGGAGCUUUACAUCCAUCACGGGGACCUUAUCAGGGCAAGUGGGUCCUGAGAGGCAGGCAGGCAGGGCCAAACGCAUCUGUGGGAGUGGGCAUACACUGGAUCCAAUACCAAAAGGAAUAUCUUUCUCUUUGAAACUAGUAAUGAUCUGUGGAGUGACAAUCUGCCCCAUAGGAAUAUGGGGUUUUAGUACCCAUCGAUUAUUCUUGCCUGAACCACUUAUUAAAUCAGGAGUUGCAAGGUAUGGGGGCUAGUUGUACCCACUGCUACUAUACUAGGGUGUCAUUUCUUCUAGGCUCCUCAGGAACACAGCUAGGAAUAUAUUUAUGUAUAUAGGGAUAUAUAUAGGGAUUAUGUAUCUAUAUAUAUAUACAUUUUAAUUUCCCCUUCUUUCUUACACAAAUGCAGAACACUAUAUAUUCUUUGUCUAGAUUUUUUUUAAUAACAUGUACACAAGGAAUUGUUCCAUACUCAUUCAUAGAUUUAAGUUAAAUGCUAAAAUUCAUUAACUAUUUACUACAUAUGUAUGUCCAGUGUAUGUCAGGGUAGGCCAGGCAAUGUUGUAGUAAAAAACAAACCCCCAAGUCUUUACAAAUAAAGUUUGGUUUCUUGCUCACAUAAAGUCCUGUGUGGGGUAGGACACCUCCUAUGUCUUAAAGCCAUGUGACUUGGAACAGAUGUUCCCCAUGGUCACCAGACUGAGUAGUCAUGCCAGAGCCCAGUCACAUGGCCCCAAGCCAAUACAAGGGAGGUUGAAAAUGUGUCUCAUUCUUCAUGAAGAGGAAACAGAAAUGGCAUGUGGUGAAUUAUAUAGCAUUGUCUGUGCCAUACCAGACUUCACAUUCAUUCUCUCAUGGAAAUCCCACCACAGCUCUACAAGGUAGGUACUUGUAUUAUGCCCAUUUUACAGCAAAGGGCAUUGAGGCUCCAAGCUUCUGUAUGCCUUUCAAAAUUAUAGUGUUCCUGUCUGUCAGGAUUAAUUUCAGAUCCAGGUAUAUCUGGUAUUGUCCAUUAAAAAAAAAAACACAGCAAACCCAUUUGAUCCAUGCACAAAAGCAAAAUUCACAGAAACGUUGGAGAUCAGAGCGAGUGGUGUAGGACAAAUAUUUAGGCUUAGGAUUAAGAAGCUAUUUCUUACCAAAAAAGUGCAAAAUAAAAAUGAAAUCCCUGGAACAAUAAAGACUAAAACAUCACAGGACACAGUGUUUCAGUAACAUUGGAUAAUACAACAGCUUUAUUUAUCAUUUCUGAAUCAAGAGCUAGUGUUAUACACGUUUCUUAAUGUACAAAAUGGGACUGUAAACAUUUUUUUCUUCUUCUUCCUAAGUAAGAGCAUCAUAUGUUCAGUGCAUGAGAGAAAUAAUGACUCUUUCAAAACCAUUUGGGAUAGUUCUGAGGAAUUAAGCCAAGUGAGGUCCAGGGAUUUUAAAUUUGAAAAAUCUUCCUUUUAGAGGAGGAAAUAAAUAAAAUUUAAAGUCUUUUGGACAGUGUGUUUAGUCCCACAGUAUUUAUUAUAUUUGUAUACUAUCUAUUAUUAGAUUUAUUGCCUAAGAUUGGGUGCAACAAUGCUGGAUCCCAGUGUAUGUUUUUAGUAAGUGAUUGCAGCAAAAUGAACAAAAAUCACAAAACUAGGAACUCCACUUUAAAUGAAGCAUUGGGGGCGCCUGGGUGGCUCAGUCGUUAAGCGUCUGCCUUCGGCUCAGGUCAUGAUCCCAGGGUCCUGGGAUCGAGUCCCACAUCGGGCUCCCUGCUCUGCGGGAAGCCUGCUUCUCCCUCUCCCACUCCCCCUGCUUGUGUUCCUGCUCUCGCUAUGUCUCUCUUUGUCAAAUAAAUAAAUAAAAUCUUUAAAAAAAAAUAAAAAAAUAAAUGAAGCAUUGGCCAUCCAUAUAUGCAAGGGACUGCAGAUUCUAUGAAAAGGUAAGGUGGUUCCAGAAGGUGACUGUUCUAGAACAAGGCAAAGCUCACCCUUGCCUGUGAGCGUGAAGCAAACUCAUCCUGGCUGUUGAUCCAUCACAGUUUUCACCAUAAUGCCCUGCAAGCAUCAACCUCUUGUCAGUGGUUUCCAAACAUUUUGGACCCUAACUACAAUAAGAAAUAUUGUUAGCUGUGU